AUACGUAGGGGGCGUAGCGUUGUCCGGAUUUACUGGGCGUAAAGGGUGAGUAGGCGGUAAUGUGUGUCAGAUGUUUAAUCUAUGAGCUCAACUCAUAUCAGCAUUUGAAACUACAUAACUUGAGUGCAGGAGAGGUAAGUGGAAUUCCUAGUGUAGCGGUGGAAUGCGUAGAUAUUAGGAGGAACACCGGUGGCGAAGGCGACUUACUGGACUGUAACUGACGCUGAGUCACGAAAGCGUGGGGAGC
rnacentral:rRNA from 1 species